rnacentral:rRNA from 1 species
GAUCCUGGCUCAGGAUGAACGCUGGCGGCGUGCUUAACACAUGCAAGUCGAACGGACGAUGAAGAGCUUGCUCUUCAGAGUUAGUGGCGGACGGGUGAGUAACGCGUGGGUAACCUGCCUCAUACAGGGGGAUAGCAGCUGGAAACGGCUGAUAAAACCGCAUAAGCGCACAGCAUCGCAUGAUGCAGUGUGAAAAACCCCGGUGGUAUGAGAUGGACCCGCGU